GAUGAAGAACGUAGUGAAAUGCGAUACUUGGUGUGAAUUGCAGAAUCCCGUGAACCAUCGAGUCUUUGAACGCAAGUUGCGCCCGAAGCCAUUUGGUUGAGGGCACGUCUGCCUGGGCGUCACAUAUCGUUGCCCGAUGCCUAUUGCACUGUGAUAGGAAAUUCUAGGGCGAAAGAUGGCUUCCCGUGAGCGUUGUUGCCUCGCGGUUGGUUGAAAAUUGAGUCCUUGGUAGGGUGUGCCAUGAUAGAUGGUGGUCGAGUUUGCACGAGACCGAUCAUGUGUGCGCUCCCCAAAAUAUGGACUCUUUGACCCCACACACGUCUUUUGACGCUCAUGACGAGACCUCAGGUCAGGCGGGGCUACCCGCUGAGUUUAAGCAUAUCAAUAAGCGGAGGA
rnacentral:misc_RNA from 1 species